GGCGGAGCUCGCGCACUCGGUUGGACGAUGCACCACCCUGCUAAGGUGGAGUCCCCUCACGGGGACCGAGGGUUCAAAUCCCUCCGUCUCCGCCA
rnacentral:tRNA from 1 species